AUAGUGAAACGCAGCCGCGCACUUUUUGCGUACCCUCCCGCGCCGACCUCUACUCGUCCGCCUUUCCCCACCAAGUCAACGCAAGCGAGCUAACUAGGUUUUUUUUUCAACGCAAGCGAGCUAGCUCGUCGCCCCUUUGUGCGGUACCUCUCGAGCGGCGGGUGUUAGUGGCAGGUCCACUUCAAGCGGCCGGCUUGGUAAGGCCACCUUGAGGGCUGUAGGCGGAGGUGGCGCCUCGACUUCGAGGAGGAUGUCGGCGAUUGGUUGCAAGAGGGGGCGCCGGUCUUUGAGUAGACGUUUCCUUUUCAAGAACGGCUGCGGCGCUCAGACUCGAGCUACGUCCACCCCCUGCCUAGGUUCCAGUACGAGUAGCGAAGCGUCCCAGAAGUAGUUCCCCUUCCGGGGUAGUGAUUCUUAUCGUCACCAGAACGUGGUUCACGUUUUUCUUGGAGUUUACAAUUCCUAUUAGUUUGUGAUUUUGGCCUCUAAUAGUCGUUUUCGGCUCGCCUCGCAACCUUUUAUUGUCCACAGUAACGAAAUAGACCAAGGUCGAACUUCCGACACGGACUCCUUCAGACCCUGACACCGAGGAGGUAUGCUCAUGAUCUACAGACAUUGUUGAGUUAACUUCGUUAAGGUGUCUUUUAACGACGUCAAUUUAGUAAUUUAUUUAACAACGAUUGGCGGUUACUGUAUAGACUACCCCCGUAGUCGACCCUUCCAGAUAGUACACAACUAUGUAAUUGUCAAAAUAGAAAUUCGGUUUUAGCUAACCAGUGAAAUGGAGGCUCAAACCCGUGUAACUGAAAAGAUGCACUUGAAGCGUAACGUUUAUUGUACGAACCGUCGGAUGGACAACUUUAUCCAAACGACUUCGUCGAUCUCUAAGAAUAUCGUUUAUUAUUAUCCUAUUGAAGCGACGGAAGGAGAUAUCCGCUGACACUUAGAGAGAAGCUCCACCUGAAUAGUAGCUUAGAAAAUCGGCUUGAUGGUUUCCGAACGCCUUUGGAAGUGUUAGACUUCCGAGACGUAGAUUCCUUGUUACCAGAAUUAAGGGAUGGCGGCUGAAAUAAGUUCUUCACGACCGCCGAAUGAUGUGAACUAGAGGUACCGUGACCUUAAUGUUUACUGUAAGAAGCUGUCGACCUCCCGACCCUCCUCAAACUACUUGCAUCCGCCGUCUUCAUAGUUUUCGUCGACCUAAAAGUACAUCCUAGUAGUCCACAAAAGCUGCUCCCACGCCUACUACUAUUGGCCGUACGUAUUAACAGAAAGAAUAAUGUCUGUCCCAAAACGCGAAGGUUAUAACAGGGUCUUAAUAAGAUCUUAACUUGAACUUGUCUGUGCCUCGACUAUAAUAAGGAGUGUAAAACCAGCACAUAAACAAAUAAGGAUAGUAAAGUAAUGUAAAAUUAUGGUUCACUACUUUUCACCACCGAUGGACAAUUUGUAAUAGUCUCGUAAACGUAGGGGUCGUAAGUAUUGAAUAGUUCUUGAAGGUUCUAAAAAAAUCUUUGUGAUACUAACGGAUACGCAACGUUGGCCCUAAUCUUAAAAAGAUCAUGACAUUGGACACAAAUAGACGGGUAUAAUUGGACUAACACAUUUUUUAUAAUAAAAUAAACCAUUCGUGAAUAACCGAAUACUUUCUUUUAUAUAAAAACAAACCAUUCAAUUAUUAUCCACCUACGUCAAUUCCGUCAAAGUCCUUUUAAAUACAUUUUUUGAACUCUACUCUGUUUUUCUUAGUUUUGCCCUCUCACUCCCCUCUUACCUACAUUCCAACCUGCUUCGUAUUCGCCUGCUGUCUUGGGUUUAUAAAAAAUCCAUUUACAAACCCUUGCCACGCGACCGACUUUGAACCGGCCAGCGUGGAGCGAGCGAGCCCUUUGGUGCUGUGUCUAGGUGUGGGCGAGCACUGCCCUUCUUUGUGUUCUUCGGUACAGGUAACACUCUGGGUGUGUGCUAGAUAGGGGUGGAAUAGAGAAGGAGGAGGAGAGAGAGAAGGAGUUAGGGGAAAAAAGACAAAGUAGGGCUAGGACUUAUGGAGCGGCGGCAAACAUGGAGGACUGCUCGAGAAUAGGUACCGCUCCCCUCCCCCGCCCACACUACAAAACAACCCGCUGCCAUCCCGCGCGUGACGCUCGUCUACCGCCCCCACCACCAGGUUUCCGUGACCUGCUGCCGCGUAGUGCUCGUGCUCACCGCCGUGCCGGCCGUUGACGUUCGAUACACCGGCGGCCGCACCUAACCGAGCCGCCACGACGUUGGCGUCAAGGCGUCUCGACGUUGGCACCAGCCUCUUUCGACCUUGGUGCCAGAUCGCCUCGACGUUCCAAGGAUGUACGACCACUCCCCCACGAUGUUGGUACCUACUCUUUUCGACCUUCGCAACAGGCCGCCUCGAUGUUGGUCUAGGCCACCUCGACGCUCAAAAAAACAUCCUGUUGUCUACGUUCGGCUGCUCGGCCUCCGUUACUGCAUCUAGUCCCCCUACGACGUUGGUACCGCUUAGCACUCGACCUUAAUUGGCCCCCUCCCCUAAUCUCGACGUUAGACAGCCACUGGCGCGCGAUCCCCUAGGUGACCGCCGACAAUACGUUAGGGGUUCUCGCCGGGGCCGCUCGCGCGGCUGCUAGCCGAGCCGCUCGACGAUCGCGCUCCGGGCCCGCCAAGUACCUCAACACGAAACAUGCGCUCGCUCCUCCCCUAAAAAAAAAGAUCUAGACUGCCAGUGCACACAGACAUAGGUUGCGAUCCCGCGACUGGCCGACUUUUAAAGCCGCGCGCGGAUCGUCACGGAAGAAAAAAUUGCGCUAUAUUCUCUUGGUGCGUCUCGUUUAGAACUACAUUUUUACCUUUUUUAUUUUAUCUUAAUAGAAAACCAAUAUUUUAUAUGUAAGACAGUAAUAAAUUUGACUGUUUUUAUCUACACGGGUAACUAGAAAAACUGGUCAAAUGGUUUCUAUUCUCUAGAUUUG
rnacentral:rRNA from 1 species